AUUUUGCAGCGAGGUUGAGUUUACAAUUUGCCAACAAUUUGCAUUAUAUGCUGAUGCUUUGUUAUAAUUUAUUUUUGACGUUUGGUUAUCGAAGAAAAGAUGGAUGAAGCGAAAUCCAAGCCCCGUGACGACUGUUUGCCGCUGAGCAAAAUUCGCACCAUCAUGAAGAGUUCGCCGGACAUUGAGCUGGUCAGCCAGGAGUCUCUGCCGAUCGUGUGCCGCGCCACGGAAAUGUUUAUCCAACACUUCAUAACGCAAGCCUAUGUGCACAGCAAAGACAAGAAAUGCAUCGGCUAUGGCGACAUCGCCGUCGCAGUAGAGAAUGAAGAAAACUUGCAUUUCUUGUCAGAUAUUCUACCACGGAAACGUCUAGCUGGCGAGUGCAUAGAUAUGAGUAAGAAGAAGUCCUCAAGUCCGACGAAGUCCCACCCAGAGCCCCAGCGGUGAUGUUCUGUACGUGCCUCCAUAAUGUUUGCUCCGUGGCGCAAUGCAUAUGCUGUCUUCUUAUUUCAGCGUUCCGUCUUGCAGGACCGCCCGUGGCCUUUGUUACGAUGGAAUGGUGAUAAAGAACUGUUCGUUUUAGUGCUGUAUUGCGUAGGUCUCCUCGCUCAUCGUCAUGUGUAAAAAAUCAUCCUAUUCACACUGUAUCCGUCAAGCUCACCUUUAUAAAUACAAACAUUCCGAUAUA
rnacentral:lncRNA from 1 species